rnacentral:misc_RNA from 1 species
CGACGUUUAUAGCAUGGGUAUCGUGCUGAUGGAACUCAUUAGUGGAAAAAUGCCAACUGAUGCAACGUUCGGCGUUGACAUGGACAUGGUGAGAUGGGUAGAGAAACGUAUCGAAAUGCAAGGAUCUGCUCGCGAAGAGUUGAUAGAUCCUGAACUGAAACCACUGUUACCAGGUGAAGAAUGUGCAGCAUAUCAAGUGCUUGAAAUUGCACUACAGUGCACUAAAAGCAGCCCACAAGAGAGGCCCUCUUCUCGGCAUGCCUGUGCUCUCCUUCUGCAUUUGUUCCGCAACAGGUUGGUGGAUUUUGAAAAGGUGAACGCAGAUCCUGACGCAUAGUCAAUGACAAUUAUUUCAAGGACUGAAGUUAAAACAGCAAUAAAAGUGUAGCAUCACUUUUUAUUAGUUUUG